GAUGAACGCUGGCGGCGUGCCUUAUACAUGCAAGUCGAGUGGGUUUAGACCCACGGCAAACGGGUGAGUAACACGUAGGUACUUUCCUUGUCACAGGAAUAACCCUCCGAAAGGAGGGCUAAUACCUGAUGUGAUCGCAAGAUUAAAGGGUAUCCGCAAGGAUUACCGGACAAGAAGAGGCCUGCGGCCUAUCAGCUAGUUGGCGGGGUAAAUGCCCACCAAGGCUAUGACGGGUAGCUGGUCUUAUGAGGAUGAACAGUCACAUGGGCACUGAGACACGGGCCCAACUCCUACGGGGGGCAGCAGGAGGGAAUUUUGCGCAAAGGGCGAAAGCCUGACGCAGCGACGCCGCGUGCGAGAUGAAGGCCUUCGGGUCGUAAACCGCUUUUAUAAGGGACGAACUUUGACGGUACCUGAUGAAUAAGGGGUUGCUAACUCUGUG
rnacentral:rRNA from 1 species